rnacentral:rRNA from 1 species
GACGUAGGGCGCGAGCGUUGUCCGGAUUUAUUGGGCGUAAAGAGCUCGUAGGCGGCCUGUCGCGUCGACCGUGAAAACCCGCAGCUCAACUGCGGGCUUGCGGUCGAUACGGGCAGGCUGGAGUUCGGUAGGGGAGACUGGAAUUCCUGGUGUAGCGGUGAAAUGCGCAGAUAUCAGGAGGAACACCGGUGGCGAAGGCGGCUUUCUGGCUCGUAACUGACGCUGAGACGCGAAAGCGUGGGGAGCGAACAGG